CGCCCAGCCCUCCCCGGGAACGGAUAAUCACCUGCCAUUCCUCCCCGUCCCGCGCGCCGUCUCCUCCCCUCCUGUGCGCCCGCUCUUUAACCAAAGCUGCGUGUCAGUGAGCCGUGCCGGUCACAUGGUGUCACUGCUGGCGGCCGCGCCUUGCUGCCUCCCUCUUGCAGCUCUCUGACGAUGCAGCGACCGCGGCUGGCGGAGAUUGAGCAACGGGGAAAGGGUGAGGGAGGGGUUGCGGGGCGCGCGUGUGCCUGGCGCACUGAAGCUGGCACCGGGAGCAGAGGCUGCGCGCCGCCCUGGCACCUGCCCCUCUCCCUCCCGGGGCCCGGCGGCGUGUUCGGAACCCAGCUGCGGCUGCAGCUGGAGAAUGAGAGCCCUUAGGGAUGGGGGUGGGGCGGCUAAAAGGGCACCGGAGGAGGACAGGAGGGCUGUGCGUUCCGCUGGGGCCUGCAUUUUGAGUACGCCAGAGCCCCGCCGGGGCUGAAGGAGCGAGG
rnacentral:lncRNA from 1 species